CCUACGGGAGGCAGCAGUGGGGAAUAUUGCACAAUGGGGGAAACCCUGAUGCAGCGACGCCGCGUGAGUGAAGAAGUAAUUCGUUAUGUAAAGCUCUAUCAGCAGGGAAGAAAAUGACGGUACCUGAGUAAGAAGCCCCGGCUAAGUACGUGCCAGCAGCCGCGGUAAGACGUAGGGGGCAAGCGUUAUCCGGAUUUACUGGGUGUAAAGGGAGCGUAGACGGCAGUGCAAGUCUGGAGUGAAAGGCGGGGGCUCAACCCCCGGACUGCACGGGAAACUGGACGGCUGGAGUGCAGGAGAGGUAAGUGGAAUUCCUAGUGUAGCGGUGAAAUGCGUAGAUAUUAGGAGGAACACCAGUGGCGAAGGCGGCUUACUGGACUGUAACUGACGUUGAGGCUCGAAAGCGUGGGGAGCAAACAGGAUUAGAUACCCGUGUAGUC
rnacentral:rRNA from 1 species